GGGGGAUCAACAUUUUAUGUUUGGCAGGUUGGCAGACACAAAACAUCACAUGAACCCACCCACAUUUUUUUCUACUAGAAUCGGAUGGUCAUGGCCCUUCCUAAUCUCGGCUCCUUCUCCAACCCAACUGCCACCGCUUCUGCCGCCGCAACGCCGUCCGCCUCCAACCCGUUGUCUCCUUCCGAUGACCCGUCUAAGAAAAUUCGAAAACCCUACACUAUUACCAAGUCGCGAGAAAGCUGGACCGAACCCGAGCACGAUAAGUUCCUCGAAGCUCUUCAGCUCUUUGACCGUGACUGGAAAAAAAUUGAAGCAUUUGUCGGAUCAAAAACUGUUAUUCAGAUACGUAGCCAUGCUCAGAAAUAUUUUCUGAAAGUCCAGAAAAGUGGAACCAAUGAACAUCUUCCUCCUCCUCGGCCAAAAAGAAAAGCUGCUCAUCCCUACCCACAGAAAGCCACAAAAAGUGCAGCUCCAGCUGUCUCACUGGUGCCUACAUCUUUUCAAGCUUCCCUUCCAUUACCGGAACCUGGAAUUGUAAAAAGGCCUGAUUCUUCUUUGUUACCUAGCAAUGCAGCCCCUGUUGUGUCUGUGCCGUCAUGGACUGACAACUCUGCG
rnacentral:misc_RNA from 1 species